rnacentral:rRNA from 1 species
CGGAGAUAGCUGGUUCUCCCCGAAAUAGCUUUAGGGCUAGCGUCGGAUAUGUGUAGUGGAGGUAGAGCACUGAAUGGGCUAGGGGGCAUAUCGCUUACCGAACCUUAUCAAACUCCGAAUGCCAUAUACAUUUAGUCCGGCAGUCAGACUACGAAUGAUAAGAUCCGUGGUCAAAAGGGAAACAGCCCAGAUCGUCAGCUAAGGUCCCAAAGUGUAAGUUAAGUGGAAAAGGAUGUGGGAUUUCUAAGACAACUAGGAUGUUGGCUUAGAAGCAGCCACUCAUUUAAAGAGUGCGUAAUAGCUCACUAGUCGAGAGAUCCUGCGCCGAAAAUGUCCGGGGCUCAAACUUACCACCGAAGCUACGGGCUUGCGUAAGCAAGCGGUAGGGGAGCGUCGUAAUCGGGCUGAAGUCGUACCGUAAGGAGCGGUGGACUGAUUACGAGUGAGAAUGUUGGCAUUAGUAGCGAGAUGUAGGUGAGAAUCCUACAGGCCGAAUAUCUAAGGUUUCCUCAGGAAGGCUCGUCCGCUGAGGGUUAGUCGGGACCUAAGCCGAGGCCGAAAGGCGUAGGCGAUGGACAAUCGGUUGAUAUUCCGAUACCACUACCAUCGUUAUUAUCGAGGGUGUGACGGAGAAGGAUAGUGUGUGCUAGCGAUUGGAAAUGCUAGUCUAAGCGUUUAGGGAGUUACGGUAGGCAAAUCCGCUGUAACAAUUCUGAGGCGUGAUGGGGAAGGCCAUAUAGGCCGAAGUACAUGAUUCCAUGCUUCCAAGAAAAGCAUCUAGAGAGAGAAGUAGUGCCCGUACCGCAAACCGACACAGGUAGAUGAGGAGAGAAUCCUAAGGCCGGCGGAAGAAUUGCAGUUAAGGAACUAGGCAAAUUGACCCCGUAAGUUCGCGAGAAGGGGUGCCUGCGAGAGCAGGCCGCAGAGAAUAGGCCCAAGCAACUGUUUAGCAAAAACACAGGUCUCUGCUAAAGCGUAAGCUGAUGUAUAGGGGCUGACGCCUGCCCGGUGCUGGAAGGUUAAGGGGAACACUUAGCGCAAGCGAAGGUGUGAACUUAAGCCCCAGUAAACGGCGGCCGUAACUAUAACGGUCCUAAGGUAGCGAAAUUCCUUGUCAGGUAAGUUCUGACCCGCACGAAUGGCGUAAUGACUUGGGCACUGUCUCAACUGCAAAUCCGGCGAAGUUGUAGUGCGAGUGAAGAUGCUCGCUACCCGCGAUUGGACGGAAAGACCCCGUAGAGCUUUACUGCAGCUUAGCAUUGAAUUCCGGUAUUGUCUGUACAGGAUAGGUGGGAGACUGGGAAACUAGGGCGUCAGCCUUAGUGGAGUCAACCUUGGGAUACCACCCUGACAGUACUGGGGUUCUAACAGGACGCCAUGAAUCUGGUGACUGGACAUUGUUAGGUGGGCAGUUUGACUGGGGCGGUCGCCUCCUAAAAAGUAACGGAGGCGCCCAAAGGUUCCCUCAGAACGGUCGGAAAUCGUUCGUAGAGUGCAAAGGCAGAAGGGAGCCUGACUGCGAGACAUACAAGUCGAGCAGGGACGAAAGUCGGGCUUAGUGAUCCGGUGGUACCUCGUGGGAGGGCCAUCGCUCAACGGAUAAAAGCUACCUCGGGGAUAACAGGCUGAUCUCCCCCAAGAGUCCACAUCGACGGGGAGGUUUGGCACCUCGAUGUCGGCUCGUCGCAUCCUGGGGCUGUAGUAGGUCCCAAGGGUUGGGCUGUUCGCCCAUUAAAGCGGCACGCGAGCUGGGUUCAGAACGUCGUGAGACAGUUCGGUCCCUAUCCGUCGCGGGCGUAGGAAAUUUGAGAGGAGCUGUCCUUAGUACGAGAGGACCGGGAUGGACUGACCUCUGGUGCACCAGUUGUUCCGCCAGGAGCAUGGCUGGGUAGCUAAGUCGGGAAGGGAUAAACGCUGAAAGCAUCUAAGCGUGAAGCCUCCCUCAAGAUGAGAUUUCCCAUAGCAUAAGCUAGUAAGACCCCUUGAAGAACACAAGGUUGAUAGGUCAGAGGUGUAAGUGCGGUAACGUAUUUAGCUGACUGAUACUAAUAGGUCGAGGGCUUGACCAA